GCUAUUGUAGCUUACACCCAAAGCACAGCACUGAAAAUGCUGAGACGGUUAUAUACCCAAAUAGCA